AAGUAUUACAACUCUUUAGAAUUUGUCUAGCAGGUUUUCUAAUACCCUC
ensembl:snRNA U7 U7 small nuclear RNA